GAUCAGUACUGUAUUCAUAUUCUGAAUAAUAACGCAAAGAAAAUUACCUUCGUUGAUAUUCCAUUAUCCAAACGCUACAAUUUACCUAUUAACAGGUGUACUAGAACAAAACUUUAUCAAGGUAAUUUCCAAUUUCAAUUCUUUUCCAUAUCGUGCGUACAUAAAUUCAUUCGAUCAAGCCUAUUCAGAAGAUUCAUUAAUGCGAACGUAACCGAAUAAUAAAUGUUCGCCUUUGUAUAUCGCGGCUUCGUGAAACCAUCUCACAGUUAAAUAAUGCGCGAUUAACGCGCUUAACGUUAGUUACGUCCUAAGGAAACCGACGUGUACAAGUCAGCGAAUAUCGUCGAUAGCUAUGAUUUCUAUUAAACGACGAAGGCGCAGUUGGCAAAGGUAUUGCGGCGGAACUGUUUCGAACGCCGUAAACCGUACGUAUUUAAAUUCAUAGUCGUGACUAUAACCGUGACUCGUGGAAAAUUACGUUACUUUCUUUACGGUUGUUCCUGCCGCGUGACCGGCGGAAGAAAUGCGCAGCCACUUGAAAAUUCUUACAUCAAACGCGCGCACGCUCGUUCCUUCAUCUUCCCCUCUACGUUGCGAGACGUUUCUCACAAUCGUAUUCGUGAAAAAGGCAAGUUCGUUAUUUCUGGAAUGAAAUUACGUAUCUGUUUUAAUAAAAUGUGUAACAGGAAACGUUUAAUAAAAUGGUAGAGCUUGGUAAAGUGGAAUGCAAAGAGAUUAAGAUUUUUUCCGAGUAUACAUAAUUCAUUUGGAUGAAUAAUCUACGAAUUGUAAUUUAGAGGAAAAGUGGAAUAAAUUUUAUGCGCUUUAGCGCGUAUUUAAUACGAACGAAUUUAAAGUAGCACUUAUUUUGAAGCACUCUGUAUACGUAAAUCCACGAUGGAAUAAAUUUCUGUCAUUUCUUA